GCCUGGGUGGCUCAGUUGGUUAAGCAUCUGACUUUGGCUCAGGUCAUGAUCUCACAGCUUGUGAGUUCGAGCCCCACGUUGGGCU
rnacentral:tRNA from 1 species